GAGGCAGAUUUUGAUAAAGAGAAUGGGUGCCAUACAUCAGACCUCACAUUAAAUCAGGGAUGAAACGAGAGAUGUCGUCCUCUGUUGCUGGUCUAUCUGUAUGAAUAAGAGGAAGAGCUCAUCCAGGAGUGCAAUUGUGGGAAUGCACAGAGAAUUGCUGUCUGUCAGAGGGAUGACCAACCAUGAGGACUUCUGCAUUGUCUUGGAGGAUAAGUGAGUCAUGGCUAGCCUGGAAAAUCUAGAAUCGCUGAACUGGAUUUAUACAAAUAUUCCACAAAUUAAAAUCACUUACAAAGAAAUGAAUAUUAAGUUUGCAAUACACAAAUUCUGUCAAAUAUUGUCUAAAAUGUGACUAUUCCUA